rnacentral:tRNA from 1 species
UAAGGCAUAGCAUAAUUUAAAUGUAUUUCGCUUACACCGAAAAGAUACUUAAAACUAAGUUGCCUUAA